GGUGCGGUGGCCAAGUGGUAAGGCUUUGGUCUCGGAAACCAAAGAUCAUGGGUUCAAUCCCCAUCCAUACCG
rnacentral:tRNA from 1 species